rnacentral:rRNA from 1 species
AGUGACGGUACCUGCAGAAGAAGCACCGGCUAACUACGUGCCAGCAGCCGCGGUAAUACGUAGGGUGCAAGCGUUGUCCGGAAUUACUGGGCGUAAAGAGUUCGUAGGCGGUUUGUCGCGUCGUUUGUGAAAACCAGCAGCUCAACUGCUGGCUUGCAGGCGAUACGGGCAGACUUGAGUACUGCAGGGGAGACUGGAAUUCCUGGUGUAGCGGUGAAAUGCGCAGAUAUCAGGAGGAACACCGGUGGCGAAGGCGGGUCUCUGGGCAGUAACUGACGCUGAGGAACGAAAGCGUGGGUAGCGAACAGGAUUAGAUACCCUG